CCUACGGGAGGCAGCAGUGAGGAAUAUUGGUCAAUGGCCGGAAGGCUGAACCAGCCAUGCCGCGUGAAGGUCAGUGCCCUAUGGGCGUUAAACUUCUUUUGUGCGGGAGCAAUAAUGGUCACGUGUGGCCUGACGAGAGUACCGUACGAAUAAGCAUCGGCUAACUCCGUGCCAGCAGCCGCGGUAAUAAGGGGGAUGCAAGCGUUACCCGGAUUUAUUGGGUUUAAAGGGUGCGUAGGCUGUGAGGUAAGUCAGCUGUGAAAUGCCCCCGGUCAACGGGGUGAAGUGCAAUUGAUACUGCCUGGCUGGAAUGCGGAUGCGGUGGGAGGAAUGUGUGGUGUAGCGGUGAAAUGCAUAGAGAUCACACAGAACACCGAUUGCGAAGGCAUCUCACGAAUCCGCGAUUGACGCUGAUGCACGAAAGCGUGGGUAUCAAACAGGAUUAGAUACCCCAGUAGUC
rnacentral:rRNA from 1 species